AGUGAACGAGGGUGGGAGGCCUAACACAUGCAAGUCGAACGGCAGCACAGUAAGAGCUUGCUCUUACGGGUGGCGAGUGGCGGACGGGUGAGGAAUACAUCGGAAUCUACUUUUUCGUGGGGGAUAACGUAGGGAAACUUACGCUAAUACCGCAUACGACCUACGGGUGAAAGCAGGGGAUCUUCGGACCUUGCGCGAUUGAAUGAGCCGAUGUCGGAUUAGCUAGUUGGCGGGGUAAAGGCCCACCAAGGCGACGAUCCGUAGCUGGUCUGAGAGGAUGAUCAGCCACACUGGAACUGAGACACGGUCCAGACUCCUACGGGAGGCAGCAGUGGGGAAUAUUGGACAAUGGGCGCAAGCCUGAUCCAGCCAUACCGCGUGGGUGAAGAAGGCCUUCGGGUUGUAAAGCCCUUUUGUUGGGAAAGAAAAGCAGCAGGUUAAUACCCCGCUGUUCUGACGGUACCCAAAGAAUAAGCACCGGCUAACUUCGUG
rnacentral:rRNA from 1 species